GGACUCUCAACCACUGCGCCACCAGGGAAGCCCAAUAAAUUCACGUUUAAGGCUCUCCCAGGGCCGUGUGAGAACAGACUGUGGAGGUCGGGGGAGCCCUGUGGAGGAGAGGCUACUAUAACAAUCCAGGUGAGAGAUGGCCUCGGACCAGGAGGUGAGAAACGCUCAAACCUGGAGGCGCCUGAAGUUAGGCCCCUGGGGUAUGCUGAGGUGUCCCCGUGCAGUGUGAGAGGGUGUGAUGUGAGGUGACUGAGCAAGCAUCACUCUCCUUCAGGCUGGAGGCCUGGCUGCCCACGGGGGGGCCCUCCCGGCCUGCGCUCUCCACAGUUACUCUCCUUGCUGGCGGCUGCCUGAACUAGAUGGGGCUGCUUCUAAGAGCUUUCCUAGUGCCAUCGGCGAGCUCGUGAGAAGUCGCCACAUCCCCAGCGGAACGACAGCAUUUCAUCAGGACUGACUCUUCAGAACCAGGAAAAGGGAGGCACACAGAGGAGAAGGCGAUGUGAAGACAGAGAUUGGCGUGAUUCGGCCAAGGAAUGCCGGCCGCCACCAGCAGCUGGAAGAGGCAAGGAAUGAAUUCUUUUCUAAAGCCACUGGAGAGAGUAUGCCCCGCUAGCACCUCGAUUUCAGCCCAGUGAACUGAAUUUCGACUUCUGGCCUCCAGAACUAGGAGGGAAUACAUUUCUGAUGUUUUAAGCCGUCAGCGCUCACUGAAGCUUGUGGGUAACUGACAUUUCUGAAUUAACAAGACGAACAAAGGCUGGAACGAACACUGUCAGCACCGGGGACUGGAGGCUUUAAACAGGAAGGGGUGAUGGGACAUCCAAAGAACUUUCCCAAGUUCUCGGGGGGAAAAACGUGCAAUAUGUGUCUUGUGUGUGGGUGAGGUCUGUCUAGAGAAGGUAUGUAUAAAUCUAUCAAGAAGCUGAAUUUAUUUUAAACACCAAAAGAAAAGAAAUCCCACAGAAAUUUGGAAGGGUAUUAUAGAUAUCACUAGAAAAAAUCAUAAAAUUAUUCACUGGCAUCGAAAAUACCAGUAGCCACUUAUUUACAGAUACAGCCAUCCUUUCCUUACAUGGAAUCCCACGUGUCUGGGGACCAAGGAGGAGAGAGCCGGCAUUCUUUGCUUCCAGCGUGCCAGGCGCUAUAUGCUAAGCUAUUACCCCUUUGCAAAGUCUUAUAAGGUGGGUAUUCUUCUCAUGCCCACAUGGCAGCUGGGGAAGCCCAGGCUUAUAGUUUUCAGAGACCACCCAGCUGGUGAGUGGUAGGGUCAGGGUUUGAACCCAGGCCCUGGGGCCUCCGGGCCCACAUCCAUGAACACUGUGUUAUGUGGCCCUGAAUUCAAGCCUAAGCUACUCCCUCUCCUUUGGUUCUCUGACCCUUCCCAACCGACCCCUUUUAAAUCAAAAUCCGCAAAGAGGGCAGGCAAGUGUCACUGAGAGCCCAGGGCCCUUGGCACCAUGCCCAGCCCUGCAUCUGAAUCCAUCUCUGGUUCACAGGGGCCGGCUCUCCAAACCUUCUUGUUUUUGUUUGUUCCGGUAAGGUCCGAUUCAUUCCUUGAGCCACAUUGGUUAAGAGCCAUCUCUGAGGGAGGAUUAAAGGCGGGCCUUUGAAAACUGGCUGAUGAAUGAUGAGCAAGUUUCCCGGGCACUAUUAUUUGCCACACGUGCUUUUUCUCAGUGUCACAUGGUGGUUCUUUGAGGCUGGCCCUGGGCUCAGAAGGUUCAGAAAGACUCUGGAAAAAAUCUCACGGCACAACUCAAUCGUGUUUCCUUCACUGCCUGAACAAGUGGGCACUCGCGCUCAGAGCUGGAAAUGCAGUAAAACGCUUUAAGAUAACAUAAAGAACAUUUUCAGUAAAGGCCAUGCAUCAGUUAGCUAAGACUGACGUUUCUUCCCCGUUCACUCUUAGUCUGCCUACAGGUGCAGAAGACACCUAAGUGCUGGGAGAAGUAAAGCAGGUAUUAAAUUCUCCACUUGCUGUUUCCGUAAGACAUCUCUGUUCUUGUAUUUCCAGCUUCUCCAGGUGAGAAUCUGAACGUGGGGUUUGCUUAGAAAUACUGUUCAUGCAGCAUAAAUCAACAGGAUAUCAAAGUUCACCAGGAAGCUGCUUGUGUUCAGAGCCCAAAGCACCUGGGAGUGAGAGCAGACGCUGAAAUCAGAAAACCGAGCGGCCACGAAUGUCACGGCCUCGUUUUGUCCACACGUCUCAUCGUGAUUAUUGUUGGGAGGCUCUGGACCACACAUCUGACCAUUACAUACUGUAAUGUACCCACCGGAUAAGAAGAAAAACGCUCCCCUACUGCUUCUGUCUUUAAGCUGAGAUGAAUAAAAGUGAUUUUUAAAAAAGCCACAGAGUCAUAAAAUACAGUUCCUGGAAAUCUAUGAAUUGAUCCCCACUGGGUUAUCUUGAAUAUUGUGUGGAAUGAUUCCUGACUGCUUUCUCCCUCUGAUAAAUCUGCUUUUGCAUCAGAAAACCCUCGGAGUGGAGCCUGUGAACCACAUCCUCGAUGUGAGGCUGGGGUCUGGCAGGCAGCAUGGGGAAUGUGUAGGACCCACGGGCCAAUCAAGACUCUUCUGCAGGAGCUGGGGGAGAACACAGUUGUCUUCUGCCUGGUUCCCAAACCCCUUCAGGUGGUGGCUCUGCACCUGUUCUUUAUAGAACACAGUUGUGUACUGACAGGUGACGCUGAAACUAAGUAAUUUUUAUGGUUUUGUGCCAAAUCAGAUACUACUGUUGAUGCAGGAAGCAGCAGAAGGGAUCAAGGUUUUGAGACAAUUUGGGGGUAUAAAUAAAACUGGAUAAAAUACUAGCAACUUAAUUUGUUCCUUGAAAAUUGCGAACAUGUUUCGGCUUUUCAGUGCUCGUGAUGGUGGCUCUGCAGGGCCGGGGUGAGGUGCAUUGGACCGUUCAACUAAUGGAAAGCAGAAUAAAACCAA